GACGAACGCUGGCGGCGUGCCUAAUACAUGCAAGUUGAGCGCUGAAGGUUGGUACUUGUACCAACUGGAUGAGCAGCGAACGGGUGAGUAACGCGUGGGGAAUCUGCCUUUGAGCGGGGGACAACAUUUGGAAACGAAUGCUAAUACCGCAUAAAAACUUUAAACACAAGUUUUAAGUUUGAAAGAUGCAAUUGCAUCACUCAAAGAUGAUCCCGCGUUGUAUUAGCUAGUUGGUGAGGUAAAGGCUCACCAAGGCGAUGAUACAUAGCCGACCUGAGAGGGUGAUCGGCCACAUUGGGCCUUGAACACCGCCCAAACCCCUCCGGGGGGCAGCAGUAGGGAAUUUUCGGCAAUGGACGAAAGUCUGACCGAGCAACGCCGCGGGAGUGAAGAAGGUUUUCGGAUCGUAAAACUCUGUUGGUAGAGAAAAACGUUGGUGGGAGUGGAAAGCCCAUCAAGUGCCGGUAACUCCCCAGAAAGGGACGGCUAACUACUU
rnacentral:rRNA from 1 species